AUCCGAGGGGGGUUGUCUACCGCGCAGGAGGUGGGGGUCGGCGCGGCGGGGGAUGGGAAAUCUCCAUUCCCAGAAGGCUGGGCUCCCGGCGUUUUGAAACAGAGGCAGGGACCUUCCCCAACUUCCAAACCUAACUCAAACCUUCGAGAAGCUCCAGGUCGACUGCACUUUCGUCCUCCAAGCUUCAUCUCCUCUGGCAGAGCGGAAGCCUGUAGAUUUGUGUCUCCAUCACAGGCCAGUGGCAGCUAAGUCAUCCACAUGCAACCCGGUGCUCUUUCCAUAAAACGAGCUGCCAGGCCUUUCCUAAAGGGGCUUGACCUCUGCACCUGAGUCACGUGCCAUGACAACAUUCCCUCACAUGCAGAAGGUUCAUGAAUUUUUGAGUUUACACUCGUCUCCCGAAUCUCUGUUGGCAGAUGGUUCAGGGAGAACUAAGAUGCCCUUUCACGGACAGGGCAAAGAGACCUUCUUUCUACCUCAGCUCCAACAGAGACCCUUAUCAUCACCCUUACCACUUCCCACUUAGAUGUCACAUUGCUUCACCCUUUUACCCUUGCUGGUUCUGUUUUCCCAUCCCCUCCGCCCAUCCAAAUUCUGCCUGUCUGAAGUCUACCUUGAGUUUUCCUUCCUCCAGAAGGUUCUCCCCAACUGCCUCAGGGUAGCAUUUGGAUUUGAAUCAUUCUUUGACACCCAAGCGCCCCCAAAGACCUCAUUUUUUAGAGCUGUUGUAAAGAUUGAAAAAAAUACUAUGAUCUUAGGUAGGAAGACUAUAAAAAAUAAAUGAAGUUAAUCUAUAAAUUAUUGUGAUUCCAGUACAAAUACUAGCAGGUUGUUUGCUCUUUUUGUUCAUUUUUUGGAGAUGGGAGA